GGCUAACGCUGGCGGCGCGCCUAACACAUGCAAGUCGAACGAACCCUUCGGGGUUAGUGGCAGACGGGUGAGUAACGCGUGGAUAAUGUGCCUCUUUGCUGGGGAUACCGUUCCGAAAGGAACGUUAAUACCGAAUGUGCUUGUUUGGCGGCAUCGUCGAGCAAGUAAACUGUUAGGGUGAAGAGAGCAGUCCGCGUUCUAUCAGCUAGUUGGUGAGGUAACGGCUCACCAAGGCUACGACGGAUAACUGGUCUGAGAGGAUGAUCAGUCACACUGGAACUGAGACACGGUCCAGAAUCCUACGGGAGGCAGCAGUGAGGAAGCUUGAAAAAUGAGCGAAAGCCGGAUGCAGCGACGCAGCGUGAAGGAGGAAAGCAUUCGGGUUGUAAACCUCUGUCAGUAGGGAAGAAGAAUGACGGUACCUACUGAGGAAGCGUCGGCUAACUACGUG
rnacentral:rRNA from 1 species